AAGGCGGGGCAGGUAACUGGGGUGAAGUCGUAACAAGGUAGCCGUAUCGGAAGGUGCGGCUGGAUCACCUCCUUUCUAAGGAA
rnacentral:rRNA from 1 species